rnacentral:snoRNA from 1 species
AAACCAUGAUGGGGGCAGUCUCUCUCAUACUCCUUGAAUCACUCCCAGGCUUCAUAGAAUGAUUCUGUUGGCCCUUGUUGGAAGCUUUGUAUUUUGUUUCUCAGCU